GGGGAAACCGAGUGCGCUGGGCACUUGGUGACCUCCUCCUGCCCCCACCCUGGGAGCUGGGCAUUUUCGCCAAGUGGCCUAAGGGAGAUCGCAAGGCUGGACUGAUUGAUCACUCUGCCUAGGAGAACCCUCAGCGGGGCUUCAGUCGCCGAGGGCAAACGGAGACGUCUCUGAAUCGGAGAGUGGUCGAUGUUGCCCACCGGGAGCGUUCUCUUCCCACCAGAGUGCCCAUGCCACACCACAGAUUGCGAUUUUUAACCCCGUUCGAUACUACAAACGUGUCAUAACCUCUAGAAGUUUUCACGUACUCAAUAUACGAUUUUAAAAUAAAAACGCAAAAAAACAAGUUAUAAAACUGUGUAGCGUGGACCCAUUCUGUGAAAACAUGUACCUAGGGGGAAAAAAAGUCGUUCUUCAAAAUAUUACUAGUAAUAUUAAUAGUUGCAGGACCUUGAAUGAUUUUUUUUCUCUUUGUUACUUUAAGUAUGUUUUAAAUCUACAAUGAAUGUGUAUUAUUCACUGCACAUUAAAAGCAAUUAUUUAAAAAGUAAUCAGUGCCCAGAGCAAACUUCAAGUACUUGAAAACAGGAAUAUUGUGAAAUCUUAUGAUUUUAAAAAGAAUAGAGAAAUGGUUUUGUUUUGUUUUCUCUUAUGCAAUAGCACUCUUUCUAGCUCUUUAACAAGCCUGGUGUUUUCAGUUUCUGACUUCUUAGAAUUAUGCAAAACCAGGUGGAGUAGACAGUGCCUGGCACUGGUUUUACUAUUUCAUUCAAAAACCUGACGCAAAAAAAAGAAAAAGAAAACCAUAAAAGCCUGACUACAGCAGACCGACGCCCCCAAAACUGCAAAGAACUUACUUUUUCUGGUUGCAUAAUUUGACACUCCCAGGAUUUAUCUGUUGAUUUAUAUGUUCGAAUAUUUCUUAAGGUAAGUGAAGCCUAAAUUAAUUGCUUGUAAUUGAAGUAAGUUUCUUCAAUUUGAAUUAAACUUUCAGCUGUUAAGUGAGAAGCUUGCAAAAUGAUCUGCACACUAACAGCAAACUCAGGAGAAAUGAUUUACAGUGAACCUGACAUGGAACAUGCAGAGACAUUAUGAAAUGACAUUUCUGCAUCAAAGAAUGGCACCAGAGUAUGUUGUUAACAAUUCAAGUUACUUAUUAAAAUUAGUACAUGGAGAAGGUAGACAGUGAGCCCAGGAGGCAGGCGAUAACAAAGUCAUACAGGACAUGAUGGCUGCCCUCCAGGCGUUUAUAAAAUUUGGUAUUUCCUUGUUGGGCAACCAAUUCCCAUUGAGUUUAGACUGAAUAAAAUAAACUUUACUUUUGCAAAACUGCAA